rnacentral:rRNA from 1 species
UACGGAGGGGGCUAGCGUUAUUCGGAAUUACUGGGCGUAAAGCGCACGUAGGCGGACUGGAAAGUCAGAGGUGAAAUCCCAGGGCUCAACCUUGGAACUGCCUUUGAAACUCCCAGUCUUGAGUUCGAGAGAGGUGAGUGGAAUUCCGAGUGUAGAGGUGAAAUUCGUAGAUAUUCGGAGGAACACCAGUGGCGAAGGCAGCUCACUGGCUCGAUACUGACGCUGAGGUGCGAAAGCGUGGGGAGCAAACAGG